GGGCAAAUCACAGACCCGAUCACGUUUCUGCGAGUCAGUUCUCUCUGUCUUCUGCGAGUGAUUUGGCCAGUGUCUUCGAGUGUCCUGGGCAAAUCACUGACCUUAUCACUUCUGCCUGUUGCCUUCAGGUUUCUGCUUCAGCCUGAUUUGGGCAAGCAGUGGGCAAAUCACUGGGCAAAUCAUUGACCCGAUCACUUUUCUGUCAACUUUCUGCACUUUUUCUCCAAUUCUCCAAUUUCUUCAUUUUCUGUAAAAAC
rnacentral:lncRNA from 1 species